rnacentral:rRNA from 1 species
GAUGAACGCUGGCGGCGUGCCUAACACAUGCAAGUCGAGCGAUUUACUUCGGUAAAGAGCGGCGGACGGGUGAGUAACGCGUGGGUAACCUGCCCUGUACACACGGAUAACAUACCGAAAGGUAUGCUAAUACGAGAUAAUAUGCUUUUAUCGCAUGGUAGAAGUAUCAAAGCUCCGGCGGUACAGGAUGGACCCGCGGCUGAUUAGCUAGUUGGUAAGGUAACGGCUUACCAAGGCGACGAUCAGUAGCCGACCUGUGAGGGUGAUCGGCCACAUUGGAACUGAGACACGGUCCAAACUCCUACGGGAGGCAGCAGUGGGGAAUAUUGCACAAUGGGCGAAAGCCUGAUGCAGCAACGCCGCGUGAGCGAUGAAGGCCUUCGGGUCGUAAAGCUCUGUCCUCAAGGAAGAUAAUGACGGUACUUGAGGAGGAAGCCCCGGCUAACUACGUGCCAGCCGCCGCAGUAACAC